rnacentral:rRNA from 1 species
UACGUAGGGCGCAAGCGUUGUCCGGAAUUAUUGGGCGUAAAGAGCUCGUAGGCGGUUUGUCGCGUCUGCUGUGAAAACCUAAGGCUCAACCUUGGGCUUGCAGUGGGUACGGGCAGACUAGAGUGCGGUAGGGGUGACUGGAAUUCCUGGUGUAGCGGUGGAAUGCGCAGAUAUCAGGAGGAAUACCUGCGGCGAAGGCGGCUUCCUGGCUCAUUACUGACGUUCAGGUACGAAAGCGUGGGUAGCAAACAGG